rnacentral:rRNA from 1 species
CGAAUGCUGACAUAAGUAACGAUAAAGCGGGUGAAAAGCCCGCUCGCCGGAAGACCAAGGGUUCCUGUCCAACGUUAAUCGGGGCAGGGUGAGUCGACCCCUAAGGCGAGGCCGAAAGGCGUAGUCGAUGGGAAACAGGUUAAUAUUCCUGUACUUGGUGUUACUGCGAAGGGGGGACGGAGAAGGCUAUGUUGGCCGGGCGACGGUUGUCCCGGUUUAAGCGUGUAGGCUGGUUUUCCAGGCAAAUCCGGAAAAUCAAGGCUGAGGCGUGAUGACGAGGCACUACGGUGCUGAAGCAACAAAUGCCCUGCUUCCAGGAAAAGCCUCUAAGCAUCAGGUAACAUCAAAUCGUACCCCAAACCGACACAGGUGGUCAGGUAGAGAAUACCAAGGCGCUUGAGAGAACUCGGGUGAAGGAACUAGGCAAAAUGGUGCCGUAACUUCGGGAGAAGGCACGCUGAUAUGUAGGUGAAGCGACUUGCUCGUGGAGCUGAAAUCAGUCGAAGAUACCAGCUGGCUGCAACUGUUUAUUAAAAACACAGCACUGUGCAAACACGAAAGUGGACGUAUACGGUGUGACGCCUGCCCGGUGCCGGAAGGUUAAUUGAUGGGGUCAGCGCAAGCGAAGCUCUUGA